GAGUUUGAUCCUGGCUCAGAUUGAACGCUGGCGGCAUGCCUUACACAUGCAAGUCGAACGGCAGCGCGGACUUCGGUCUGGCGGCGAGUGGCGAACGGGUGAGUAAUACAUCGGAACGUACCCUGUUGUGGGGGAUAACUAGUCGAAAGAUUAGCUAAUACCGCAUACGACCUGAGGGUGAAAGCGGGGGACCGCAAGGCCUCGCGCAGCAGGAGCGGCCGAUGUCUGAUUAGCUAGUUGGUGGGGUAAAGGCCCACCAAGGCGACGAUCAGUAGCUGGUCUGAGAGGACGAUCAGCCACACUGGGACUGAGACACGGCCCAGACUCCUACGGGAGGCAGCAGUGGGGAAUUUUGGACAAUGGGGGCAACCCUGAUCCAGCAAUGCCGCGUGUGUGAAGAAGGCCUUCGGGUUGUAAAGCACUUUUGUCCGGAAAGAAAACGCUCUGGUUAAUACCUGGAGUGGAUGACGGUACCGGAAGAAUAAGCACCGGCUAACUACGUGCCAGCAGCCGCGGUAAUACGUAGGGUGCGAGCGUUAAUCGGAAUUACUGGGCGUAAAGCGUGCGCAGGCGGUUUUGUAAGACAGGCGUGAAAUCCCCGAGCUCAACUUGGGAAUUGCGCUUGUGACUGCAAGGCUAGAGUAUGU
rnacentral:rRNA from 1 species